rnacentral:rRNA from 1 species
GAUGAACGCUGGCGGCGUGCCUAAUACAUGCAAGUCGAGCGAACGGACGAGAAGCUUGCUUCUCUGAUGUUAGCUGCGGACGGGUGAGUAACACGUGGAUAACCUACCUAUAAGACUGGGAUAACUUCGGGAAACCGGAGCUAAUACCGGAUAAUAUUUUGAACCGCAUGGUUCAAAAGUGAAAGACGGUCUUGCUGUCACUUAUAGAUGGAUCCGCGCUGCAUUAGCUAGUUGGUAAGGUAACGGCUUACCAAGGCAACGAUGCAUAGCCGACCUGAGAGGGUGAUCGGCCACACUGGAACUGAGACACGGUCCAGACUCCUACGGGAGGCAGCAGUAGGGAAUCUUCCGCAAUAGGCGAAAGCCUGACGGAGCAACGCCGCGUGAGUGAUGAAGGUCUUCGGAUCGUAAAACUCUGUUAUUAGGGAAGAACAUAUGUGUAAGUAACUGUGCACAUCUUGACGGUACCUAAUCAGAAAGCCACGGCUAACUACGUG